GACCGAUAGUGAACCAGUACCGUGAGGGAAAGUGAAAAGUACUUCGAAUAGAAGGUGAAAUAGAUCCUGAAACCAUACGCUUACAAGCUGUCGUAGCCCUCUUAAUUGAGUAGGGUGACGACGUGCCUUUUGCAUAAUGAACCUACGAGUUAAUUUUUCCGGCAAGGUUAAGUAGUUCAGCUAUGGAGCCGUAGCGAAAGCGAGUCUGAAUAGGGCAUUUAGUCGGAAGAAUUAGACGCGAAACCGAGUGAUCUACCCAUGAGCAGGUUGAAACUGUGGUAACACAUAGUGGAGGACCGAACCGGUUGACGUUGAAAAGUCUUCGGAUGACUUGUGGGUAGGGGUGAAAGGCUAAUCAAACUCGGAGAUAGCUCGUACUCCCCGAAAUGCAUUUAGGUGCAGCAUCGUGUUAAAUAUAACAGAGGUAGAGCUACUGAUUGGAUGAAGGGGUUUCAUCACCUGCUAAUUCCUGAUAAACUCCGAAUGCUGUUAUUAUGUUUCACGGUAGUGAGGGCAUGGGUGCUAAGAUCCAUGUCCAAGAGGGAAACAACCCAGACCAUCAGUUAANGCCCCUAAGUAUAUAUUAAGUUGUAUAAACAAAGUUUAAUUACACAGACAGCUAGGAUGUUGGCUUAGAAGCAG
rnacentral:rRNA from 1 species